rnacentral:lncRNA from 1 species
CAUUAAUAACCUGAUUUCAGGACCGUCCCCAUACCCCGUCCGGUAUGGGCGCCAAAACCAUAAACCUCAAUACCCCAUCCGAUAUGAGGGUGAAACGGGCCGUCCCCAUACCCCGUCCGGUAUGGGCGCCAAAACACAUAAGGUCUCCAUACCCGUCCGGUAUGAGAGACCACGUUCCCGGUAGGGUUCCCUAUGGACCCGGUCUGUCCACCAUCUCCCAGGAUAUCUAGUCAGGCUGUCCACAUUAUCCAUUUAUCAAUUCACAUAACCUUUUUUCCCUUUUCCUUGGUCUCAAUCAUUCAAUCAUACACAAACAUGUAAACUAGUAAUUGAUACCAAACAAGACAACACAGUAUCGGGUUCAAAAUCAUCCAAUCCAUAAUCAAUGAAACAGUGAUUCAUGCACACAAAAUCAUAAAAUAAAAACAUCAGAUAUCAUAUUGCAUUUAAAAUCACAAAAUAGAUCAAACA